rnacentral:rRNA from 1 species
UGAGUAACCUGCCCUUAACUCUGGGAUAAGCCUGGGAAACUGGGUCUAAUACCGGAUAUGACUCCUCAUCGCAUGGUGGGGGGUGGAAAGCUUUAUUGUGGUUUUGGAUGGACUCGCGGCCUAUCAGCUUGUUGGUGGGGUAAUGGCCUACCAAGGCAACGACGGGAAGCUGGUCUGAGAGGGUGACCGGCCACACUGGGACUGAGACACGGCCCAGACUCCUACGGGAGGCAG